rnacentral:lncRNA from 1 species
UUACGGCGUAGCGUUUGAUAGCCCCUAAGUAGGUAGAUCCACAUCUUGAAUACAUGCGACAAUCUCAGGUCUAAGGACAAAGCAUAUAUGUUGUUUAAAGAGAGAACUACUUCUCGUGUUGGGUCAGUCCUAGCACAUGUCUCCACAUGUGCCAACAUUAUUAGUUCAACAUCUCCAUGUCCAUGACUUGUGAAACAUAGUCAUCAACUAAUACAUGUGCUAGUCUAAUAUUCAUGUAUGUCCUCACAUGAACUCCGACUAGGGAUAACUUUAGAAUAACCAUACAAGUAAUGAGUUUCACACACAAUUCACAUAAUUGCAAAUCAAUUCAAGUAGCCUUUAAUGGAUAUUCAAUGAACACAAUAUAAAUCAUGGAUACAAAUGGAAUAUCAUCAUCUCUAUGAUUGCCUCUAGGGCAUACCUCCAACAGUCUCCCACUUGCACUAGAGUCAAUCUAGAAGGUACCUAAUACCCAUAGCUCUUACAUGCGCAUCAUGCUUAGCCUGCGGGAGUGGUUUUGUCAACGGAUCAGAAAUGUUCAGAUCCGUGUGUAUUUUGCAUAUCUUGAUUUCACCCCG